GACUAAAAUAUAGGUAAUUGGUAAGCGAGAUAAGUUGAAACAAAAGUUGGCGAAUUAAGUUAAAUUAUACGAAAUCCAAUGUUACCUUUUUUCAAUAAAAAGCUAUCCAAAAAAUUCAUAUUGUAAAACCAGGAUUAGAUACCCUGCUAUUAUUGAAUGUCGUUAUAUUAUACUAGGGAAUUACGAGCAUUAAUGAGCUUAAAACCUAAAGAGUUUGGCGGUUCCAUUUUGGGCCAGGGGAGCAUGGCCUGUAAGCGAUAUUCCCCGAAAUUUUAACCUUUCUUAACAAGUUUAUAUACCCCCGUUUAUGUUAGCAUUUUGAAAUAAGAAAAGUUAGCAGUAAGUUUUAUUAACUAAAAAAUCAGGUCGAGGUGUAGCUAAUAGAAAGGGAUGAGCUGUGCUACUUUACUAGUUAGUUAAUGGAUGUAAUGUUUGACAAAAGCUACAGAAAAAGUACUUGGUAGUAAAAAUUUCUUAAAAAGAAAUUUUAAAUAAAUUCAAAUGGAGCGUACAAAUCGCCCGUCAAUCCUACCAUUGAGGUAGGAUAA
rnacentral:rRNA from 1 species